AAACCGCCCCCUAAGUUUUGCAACUGUAGCAGUUUUGGCCGCCCAAGGCCAAUUUAAAAUAAAAAAAACAAAAUAAAAUAACAUAUGGCACCUCACUUAGCGUGUCACGUCAGCGUAGACCGAGUCAAAAUUGGUCUUGGGGGCCAAAACAGCUACAGUUGCAAAACUUAGGGGGCGGUUU
rnacentral:pre_miRNA from 1 species